rnacentral:rRNA from 1 species
GAUGAACGCUGACAGAAUGCUUAACACAUGCAAGUCAACUUGAACUUCGGUUUGGGUGGCGGACGGGUGAGUAACGCGUAAAGAACUUGCCUCACAGCUAGGGACAACAUUUGGAAACGAAUGCUAAUACCUGAUAUUAUGAUUUUAGGGCAUCCUAGAAUUAUGAAAGCUAUAUGCGCUGUGAGAGAGCUUUGCGUCCCAUUAGCUAGUUGGAGAGGUAACGGCUCACCAAGGCGAUGAUGGGUAGCCGGCCUGAGAGGGUGAACAGCCACAAGGGGACUGAGACACGGCCCUUACUCCUACGGGAGGCAGCAGUGGGGAAUAUUGGACAAUGGACCAAGAGUCUGAUCCAGCAAUUCUGUGUGCACGAUGAAGUUUUUCGGAAUGUAAAGUGCUUUCAGUUGGGAAGAAAAAAAUGACGGUACCAACAGAAGAAGUGACGGCCAAAUACGUG